CUGUUCACUCCAGUGUGUGGUGGAGAGACUGAGUCACAGAGAGCUUAAGCAAUUUUGCCCAAGCUAAUAAGUGACACAAUGGCCCAACGUGACAAGCACUCUACCUGAGGGAAAAACAGGGUUAUCCUGGAACAGAAAACAUCUGUGGAGGCCCAGGGAGCCUGGAAGACGGUAGACCUCAGUUGACUUUGACAGAAGGGGAGCUGUCAGUGGGCAGAAAGGCACUGCGGUCAGUGCUGGUUGCAGGUGGAGGGAGCACCCUGGACAAAGCUCUUGAGAAAGAGGCCAUAAAGAACACGUGGCUGGUUGAAUUCGGCUGGACAUGCAGUGAUUGAAGAUCUCCUGUAUCCAAGGGACUGUCAUGGCUUCUGGAAACACAGCUGCCGUAAACGGUGACACAACGACCACGUCGUGAGCGACUUCUGGGCCCCAGUUCUAUUUUCCCACAGACCUCCGCCCAUGCACAAUCUGUCUGCACUCAGAGCUUCCUGUGAGGAGGGAGCUAGCAAGCGGAGUGGUCCGGGGCUCUGAGACAGCGAUAUGGGGGGUGGGUCCCCCAGAGGAAGGCUAACACAAACCUAGCAAGCAUUGAAUAAACUGAGUCACCUUGAUAGAAUCUUGACAUUGGGGCACCUGGGUGGCUCAGUUGGUUAAGCGACUGCGUUAGGCUCAGGUCAUGAUCCUGGAGUCCUGGGAUGGAGCCCCGCAUCGGGCUCCCAGCUCCAUGA